rnacentral:rRNA from 1 species
GAUGAACGCUGGCGGCGUGCCUAAUACAUGCAAGUCGAGCGAAUGACGAGGAGCUUGCUCCUCUGAUUUAGCGGCGGACGGGUGAGUAACACGUGGGUAACCUGCCUGUAAGACGGGGAUAACUCCGGGAAACCGGAGCUAAUACCGGAUGAUAACGAGAAGCGCCUGCUUCUUUUUUGAAAGUCGGUUUCGGCUGACGCUUACAGAUGGGCCCGCGGCGCAUUAGCUAGUUGGUGAGGUAACGGCUCACCAAGGCGACGAUGCGUAGCCGACCUGAGAGGGUGAUCGGCCACACUGGGACUGAGACACGGCCCAGACUCCUACGGGAGGCAGCAGUAGGGAAUCUUCGGCAAUGGACGAAAGUCUGACCGAGCAACGCCGCGUGAGCGAUGAAGGCCUUCGGGUCGUAAAGCUCUGUUGUCAGAGAAGAACAAGUAUCGGAGUAACUGCCGGUACCUUGACGGUACCUGACCAGAAAGCCACGGCUAACUACGUGCCAGCAGCCGCAGUAAGAC